AGGACCUUAGGAUAGUAUUAGACCAGGGGCCUUCAAAGCCCCAAGCGGGAGUGAAAAUCUCCCAGCUCCUA
rnacentral:tRNA from 1 species